UAGAAUAUGGUAUAAUGUAGCAUGAAGAGUUUUGAAUUCUUAAGACUAGGUUCGAUUCCUAUAAUUCUAG
rnacentral:tRNA from 1 species